rnacentral:rRNA from 1 species
UACGUAGGAGGCAAGCGUUGUCCGGAAUUACUGGGCGUAAAGCGCGUGUAGGUGGUGGGACAAGUCUGCUGUGAAAGCGCCUGGCUUAACCGGGCGAGGUCGGCGGAAACUGUCCGACUCGAGGACGGUAGAGGGGGGUGGAAUUCCCGGUGUAGUGGUGAAAUGCGUAGAGAUCGGGAGGAACACCUGUGGCGAAGGCGGCCCCCUGGGCCGGCCCUGACACUGAGACGCGGAGGCGUGGGGAGCGAACGGG